rnacentral:rRNA from 1 species
UACGUAGGGGGCAAGCGUUAUCCGGAUUUACUGGGUGUAAAGGGAGCGCAGACGGCAGCGCAAGUCCGGGGUGAAAGCCCGCGGCCCAACCGCGGGACUGCCCUGGAAACUGUGCGGCUGGAGUGCCGGAGAGGUAAGCGGAAUUCCUAGUGUAGCGGUGAAAUGCGUAGAUAUUAGGAGGAACACCAGUGGCGAAGGCGGCUUACUGGACGGUAACUGACGUUGAGGCUCGAAAGCGUGGGGAGCAAACAGG